UACGGAGGGUGCAAGCGUUAUCCGGAUUCACUGGGUUUAAAGGGUGCGUAGGUGGGCAAGUAAGUCAGUGGUGAAAUCUCCGGGCUUAACCCGGAAACUGCCAUUGAUACUAUAGGUCUUGAAUCUUCUGGAGGUCAGCGGAAUAUGUCAUGUAGCGGUGAAAUGCUUAGAUAUGACAUAGAACAUCAAUUGCGAAGGCAGCUGACUACGGGAGCAUUGACACUGAGGCACGAAAGCGUGGGGAUCAAACAGG
rnacentral:rRNA from 1 species